rnacentral:tRNA from 1 species
AUUUAUGCUAGAAUAUACAAAUAAAAAGCCGGAAUAGCUCAGUUGGUAG